rnacentral:rRNA from 1 species
UGAUGACGAGACGCUAAGGCGUUGAAGCAGUGUAUGUCAGACUUCCAAGAAAAGCUCGCAAUGUCAUAGAUAAAAAAUGCCUGUACCAUAACCGACACAGGUGGGUAGGUAGAGUAUACUAAGGGGCGCGAGAUAACUCUCUCUAAGGAACUCGGCAAAAUGACUCCGUAACUUCGGGAGAAGGAGUGCCUUAUUUAUAAGGUUGCAAUAACAAGAUCCAAGCAACUGUUUAUCAAAAACACAGGUCUCCGCUAAGUCGUAAGACGAUGUAUGGGGGCUGACGCCUGCCCAGUGCCAGAAGGUUAAAGAAGUUGGUUAGUGUAUGCGAAGCUGAUGACUGAAGCCCUGGUGAACGGCGGCCGUAACGAUAACGGUCCUAAGGUAGCGAAAUUCCUUGUCGGGUAAGUUCCGACCCGCACGAAAGGCGUAAUGAUUUGGAUACUGUCUCGGAGAGAGGCUCGGUGAAAUAGACUUGUCUGUGAAGAUGCGGACUACCUGCACCAGGACAGAAAGACCCUAUGAAGCUUUACUGUAACUUGAAAUUGGAAUUGGACUUUGCUUGCGCAGUAUAGGUGGGAAGCGUUGAAGAUAUUCUUGCGGGAGUAUUGGAGCUAUCAGUGAGAUACCACUCUUGUAAUGUUAGAUUUCUAACUUUGAACCAUAAUCUGGUCAAAGAACAGUUUCAGGUGGGCAGUUUGACUGGGGCGGUCGCCUCCCAAAUGGUAACGGAGGCGUACAAAGGUUUCCUCUGAACGGAUAGAAAUCGUAUCUAGAGUGUAAAGGCAUAAGGAAGCUUGACUGUGAGACCUACAAGUCGAGCAGGGACGAAAGUCGGUCUUAGUGAUCUGACGGUACUGAGUGGAAAGGCCGUCACUCAACGGAUAAAAGUUACUCUAGGAUAACAGGCUGAUCUCCCCCAAGAGUUCACAUCGACGUGGAGGUUUGGCACCUCGAUGUCCGCUCAUCGCAUCCUGGGGCGGUAGUACGUCCCAAGGGUUGGGCUGUUCGCCCAUGAAAGCGGUACGCGAGCUGGGUUCAGAACGUCGUGAGACAGUUCGGUCCAUAUCCGGUGUAGGCGCUAGAAUAUUGAGAGGAGCCUUCUUUAGUACGAGAGGGCCGAGAAGGACACACCGCUGGUGUACCAGUUAUCGUGCCAACGGUAAACGCUGGGUAGCUAUGUGUGGAGUGGAUAACCGCUGAAAGCAUCUAAGUGGGAAGCCCACCUCAAGAUGAG